rnacentral:rRNA from 1 species
UACGGAGGGUGCAAGCGUUGUCCGGAUUUAUUGGGUUUAAAGGGUGCGUAGGCGGCCCGUUAAGUCAGUGGUGAAAGCCUCCAGCUCAACUGGAGAACUGCCAUUGAUACUGACGGGCUUGAGUACAGACGAGGUUGGCGGAAUUGAUUGUGUAGCGGUGAAACGCAUAGAUACAAUCAAGAACUCCGAUUGCGUAGGCAGCUAACUAGGCUGUAACUGACGCUGAGGCACGAAAGCGUGGGGAGCGAACAGG